rnacentral:rRNA from 1 species
UGAGUAGAGUGGCGAACGGGUGAGUAACACGUGGGUGAUCUACCUCUGAGUGGGGGAUAACGUUCCGAAAGGAGCGCUAAUACCGCAUGACGUUCCGGGCUUGAAGACCGGGAAACCAAAGUCGGGGACCGCAAGGCCUGGCGCUUGGAGAGGAGCCCGCGCCUGAUUAGCUAGUUGGUGGGGUAAUGGCUCACCAAGGCGACGAUCAGUAGCCGGCCUGAGAGGGCGGACGGCCACACUGGGACUGAGACACGGCCCAGACUCCUACGGGAGGCAGCAGUGGGGAAUUGUUCGCAAUGGGCGCAAGCCUGACGACGCAACGCCGCGUGGAGGAUGAAGGUCUUCGGAUUGUAAACUCCUGUUGACCGGGACGAAUGGCCACCGACUGAAUACGUCGGUGGAAUGACGGU